UAAAAAAUGAAAUAUCUGUAAAAUGUUAAUUCGUGUUUUGAAAAGAAAAAUUUUCUUAUUUAAUAGAAGAAAAAAAGCCAGAUAUAUAAUGGUAAUUUAGUUGGCAGCCGCGUUAAAAACAACAAAUAAACGAAAACAAACGAAAAAAGAAACAAAAUGCCUGUAACCAAGGUGAUAUUAAGUCUUCAAAUUUUUUAAAUCUUCAUAAACAAUUAAAGACUUACGCAGUCGAGUUGUAUGUAUUUCAACCGGAACGGUAGCACCGUGAAAUGAAAUGGAUUCAUAGGAAGGGCAGUUACAGUCGCCCUUUUCCAACGGCUGGACAAAGGCAUGGAUUACUGGAAGGACUCAGGUUCACACGGAGUCCUUCCUACUUAUUCAGGGUGCCCGUCCGGCUAGGGUCUGCCUGGUCCUUUUUUUACAGAAUUGUGUCCUGAAUGAGCUCAUAGGGAGGGCAGUUACCGCCCUCCCUGUCCAACCGCUGGACAUAGUGCCAGGAAAAGGCUUGGAAGGACUCCGGUUCACACGGAGUUCUUCCAACUUAUCCAGAGUUCCCGUCCGGCUGGGUCCGCCUGAUCCCUUCUUGUGACUUGUGUCCUGAAUGAGCUCAUAGGGAGGGCAAUUACCGCCUCCUUUUCCAGCAGCCGGACUUAGCCUCGGGUUAGGAAUGAAUUACUGGAAGGACUCCGUUUCACACGGAGUCCUUCCUUUUCAUCCCGGGUCCCCGACCGGCUGGGUCCACCUGGUACGUUCUUAUAGAAUUGUGUCCUGAAUGAGCUCAUAGGGAGGGCAGUUACCGCCCUCCUUUUCCAGCGCCCGGACUUAGCCUCGGUUUAGAAUAGAUUACUGGAAGGACUCCGGUUCUCACGGAGUCCUUCCUUUUCAUCCAGGGUCCCCGACCGGCUGGGUCCGCCUGGUACAUUCUUAUAGAAUUGUGUCCUGAAUGAGCUCAUAGGGAGGGCAGUUACCGCUCUCCUUUUCCAACAGCCGGACAUAGCUCCAAGAAGAAACAACAGAAAACAGCAGACUGCUUUUCAGUAGACUACGUUGCAGAAAUGAAAAGAUUCGUGUUUCUACCGCACUAUAUUGGCUCGCACCAUAUGCAAUAUGUGAUUUUUAAGCAAUGGCCACUAUCUUAAUGUUUAAUAAACACUCGUACAUUUUCUUUAA